AAGAGACGGGAGAGAGAGAGACAAGGAAGACAGAAGAGAGAGAGACGGGAGAGAGAGAGAGAGAGAGACAGGGGAGACCACACAAGAGGCAUGUUGGACACAAAGCAGACACAGGGCUGAGGAUCUAGGCAAAGUACAUCAUGGUUCUACAGUCAGUCUAGGUGUUGCUGUCGCGUCGUCAGGUGUUGCUGCCGCGUCGUCAGGUGUUGCUGCCGUGUCGUCAGGUGUUGCUGCCG